GACGAACGCUGGCGGCGUGCUUAACACAUGCAAGUCGAACGGAAAGGCCUGCAGCUUGCUGCGGGUACUCGAGUGGCGAACGGGUGAGUAACACGUGGGUGAUCUGCCUUGCACUUCGGGAUAAGCUUGGGAAACUGGGUCUAAUACCGGAUAGGACAGCUGUCUAGUGUCAGUUGUGGAAAGUUUUUUCGGUGCAAGAUGAGCUCGCGGCCUAUCAGCUUGUUGGUGGGGUAAUGGCCUACCAAGGCGUCGACGGGUAGCCGGCCUGAGAGGGUGUACGGCCACAUUGGGACUGAGAUACGGCCCAGACUCCUACGGGAGGCAGCAGUGGGGAAUAUUGCACAAUGGGCGGAAGCCUGAUGCAGCGACGCCGCGUGGGGGAUGAAGGCCUUCGGGUUGUAAACUCCUUUCGACAGGGACGAAGCUUUUGUGACGGUACCUGUAUAAGAAGCACCGGCUAACUACGUG
rnacentral:rRNA from 1 species